GAUUGAACGCUGGCGGCAGGCCUAACACAUGCAAGUCGGACGGUAGCACAGAGGAGCUUGCUCCUCGGGUGACGAGUGGCGGACGGGUGAGUAAUGUCUGGGGAUCUGCCCGAUAGAGGGGGAUAACCACUGGAAACGGUGGCUAAUACCGCAUAACGUCGCAAGACCAAAGAGGGGGACCUUCGGGCCUCUCACUAUCGGAUGAACCCAGAUGGGAUUAGCUAGUAGGCGGGGUAAUGGCCCACCUAGGCGACGAUCCCUAGCUGGUCUGAGAGGAUGACCAGCCACACUGGAACUGAGACACGGUCCAGACUCCUACGGGAGGCAGCAGUGGGGAAUAUUGCUCAAUGGGCGCGAGCCUGAUGCAGCCAUGCCGCGUGUAUGAAGAAGGCCUUCGGGUUGUAAAGUACUUUCAGCGGGGAGGAAGGCGGUGAGGUUAAUAACCUCGCCGAUUGACGUUACCCGCAGAAGAAGCACCGGCUAACUCCGUGCCAGCAGCCGCGGUAAUACGGAGGGUGCAAGCGUUAAUCGGAAUUACUGGGCGUAAAGCGCACGCAGGCGGUCUGUUAAGUCAGAUGUGAAAUCCCCGGGCUUAACCUGGAACUGCAUUUGAACUGCAGCUUGAGUCUCGUAGAGGGGGGUAGAAUUCCAGGUGUAGCGUGAAAUGCGUAGAGAUCUGGAGGAUACCGGUGCGAGCGCCCCUGACGAGA
rnacentral:rRNA from 1 species